CGACGUAGGUAACCUGCCUGGUAGUGGGGGAUAACUAUUGGAAACGAUAGCUAAUACCGCAUAAUAACAGUUGUUGCAUGACAACUGUUUGAAAGGUGCAAUUGCAUCACUGCCAGAUGGACCUGCGUUGUAUUAGCUAGUUGGUGGGGUAACGGCUCACCAAGGCGACGAUACAUAGCCGACCUGAGAGGGUGAUCGGCCACACCGGGACUGAGACACGGCCCAG
rnacentral:rRNA from 1 species